GAUAACAACACAGUCCUAUUCUAGAUUCCAUAUUGACUGUAGGGUUUACGAUCUCGAUGUUGGAUGAGGACAUCAUAAUGGUGUAACUGCUAUUAAUGGUUCAUUUGUUUUAUUAAAGUCCUACGUAAUCUGAGUUUAGUCCAGAGUAAUACAGC
rnacentral:ncRNA from 1 species